rnacentral:lncRNA from 1 species
ACAACCGUGUUCAAAAUUAUGAGAAAAAUUAAAAAAAAGAAAUGACGCCAUGUGACAAAAUUAUGAGAAAUAAUGAUAAGGAAUAGAUGUAUAUGUAAAUAGGAAAAAUUUCCUGAAUUAUGGAUUGUUUUGAUUCAAUCAUCUAAUUUUUUAAAUAUUUGAUUUUAUUAUCUAAUUUUUUAAUUUAUUUGAUAUAAGCUAUUUGGCUGUUCUUUUACGUACAAAUUUUAAGCUCAUUAUUUAUGUUAAAAAGAAUUAUAGUUGGAUA